UAGAUGCGAGAGUAGAGCAUAUCAAUAAGCGGAGGAAAAGAAACUAACUAGGAUUCCCUUAGUAACGGCGAGUGAAGCGGGAAGAGCUCAAAUUUGAAAUCUUCAAGGUUUUACCUUGACGAAUUGUAGUUUAAAGAAGUGUUUUUCUGUUGGAGUUUUGGUAAAAGUUCUUUGGAAUAGGACAUCAUAGAGGGUGAGAAUCCCGUAUUUGGUACCAUUCCUCCUAACGUUUGUGAUACACUUUCAACGAGUCGGAUUGUUUGGGAAUGCAGUCCAAAAUGGGUGGUAAAUUUCAUCUAAAGCUAAAUAUUGGCGAGAGACCGAUAGCGAACAAGUACCGUGAGGGAGAGAUGAGAAAGAACUUUGAAAAGAGAGGUUAAACAGUACGUGAAAUUGUCAAAAGGGAAGCGUUUGACACCAGUGUUGUUUUUCUCGAAAAUCAAUUAAUGAAUGGCUUGGAUUUUAAGUUUCAUGACCUUAAAAGCUUGUUUCUUAUUUUUUCAUGUCUUUCGUAAUGCACUUUUCGGUUAACAAGUCAACAUCAAUUUCUUUUGUUGUAAAAGGUUAAGAGGAAGGUGGCUUUACUUUCGGGUAAAGUGUUUAUAGCCUUUUAACUCUGCAAUCGGAGAGAUUGAGGUCUGCAGCGUAGAUCCUUCGGGGCUAGAUACGUUUGUGCUAAGUUAUAGCUUUUCAUAGACAACUUGUUGACUAUGUUUAGUCUUGUAGCUUACUCGCAUGCGCUAUUUUACCUACGCUUAGGAUGUUGACGAGACUGUCGAUCUC
rnacentral:rRNA from 1 species